rnacentral:lncRNA from 1 species
AAAAAAUUGUAGAUGGUUUGAAUCAUGUUAUUUUCCUUCAGAGUAUGUUCAACCAGAAUAUAAGGCAGAAAGAUCAUUGCAAUCUAAUUAGGAAUUGAGCUACCUGGAUUGUACUUUGUAGUUUUUGUAAGACUCUAUUUACCUUUGUUUUAUUCUUCCUACUAGAAUGUAUCUAUCUAGGCUUUCAAUCGAAAACAUCAGGUGUUUAAUGUUACUUCUCCUCGAUAAUAGAUCUUUCUUUAACUCUGAUUUUUGUCUCUUCAGUAUAGUGAAACUAUCCAGGAGCCUGCUCUGUGUUUGAAAGACUUUCUUCUUAGAUUUUUAUCCUCUUUCUCUGAAGAACUCCAGAAAUCAGUAAAUACCUAUCAUACUCAGUGGAACCAACACUGAAGAUCUCAGUUUGAAGCACUGGAGCAGGUUGUUCUGAAAGGUCACCAGGAAGCUGAAGAAAUUCUCAGUUAUAGUAAAUGCCUUGAGUAGACAAAUGUAUGCAUACUUUAUUUGUCCACCAAAUUUUUGAAGGAGAGAGAAGACGAAAGAUGUGAAAACAAUUAUGUAACCUAUGAAAGACAGAGAAAGUUUGUUUCUGUUGACUGGACAAGAAGCAAUGAAGCCUGUGCAAUAGAGAAAAAAAUGGAGAUUGGCAUAUAAACACAUAUCAGCAUUUAUCAAGGAGUUAGUUACAUGGCUUUUGGUGAAGCAGGAUAUUUCCCUGACCCCUUUGUGGGAUUCGUGACCAGAGUGUGUUUACUCAGCCCGUCACUCUCAACUCCUCACGGGAGGGAGUGCAUAAGCAAGUAAGAUGGGAACUGGAGUGCACGAGCAUUGGAACUGAACAGCUGCUUCAGCACUGGCAGGAGCAAACUUCCCGCAGCAGCAUCCAGGGUUGAAUCAAGGAAGCAGUACACUAUAUUCCGGGAACUUCAGGCUUCCUAUCACUUUGUUACAUGAAGAGGCAUCUUCAAAGAGCAAACUGAUACAACUUUAAAUUGAAAAGGAUAAAGUUUGAAAUGAAAUAUUUGUCCAAAGAUUUGUUGUGUUUUGCAAGGUAAAACAGCUCAAUUCUAUCCUGACCUUUGGUUGCAUUUCUAGAUAAUUUUAUAGGCACCUUCAAAUUCAGAUAUCCUAAGAUUUAAAUAAUGCUAGAUUUAUAGCUCUUAUAUGACAAUUUUUACCAAAAAAAGCUCUUUAAAAUUACUUAAAUUUACAUUAAAAGCUGAUAUUCUGAAAUUUUAUUCCAACUAGACUGCAUUAGUCAGGGUUCUUUAGAGAAAGAACCAAUAUAAACAGAUAGAAAGAAGGUAGAUAGAUAGAUACAGGUAGAUGAUAGAUAGAUGAUAGAUAGAUAGAUAGAUAGAUAGAUAGAUAGAUAGAUAAAGAGGGAAUUUAUUAGGGGAAUUGCCUCACAGGAUUAUGGAAACUGACAGACCACACAAUAGGUCAUCUGCAAGCUGGAAAACCGGGGAAGCUGGUAGUGUGGCCAUUUUCUGUGGGGCAGGGGAAAUAAAUUAAUUAACCAGCAAUUUAAAUUAUCUUCUCCCUGUAGUCUAUGCUCCUGAUAAUUAACAGGUGACAUCUUAUGGGAUAAAUAAUAUUGUUUACUGAUAUCCAAUCUCCCAUUAAAAUAUUCACAAUUGAUAUAGUAAAAUAAUCAGUAAAAUCAUUUAUUUCCCAUUUAAAAUAGUUAAAAUAAGUAGUACUUGAUAUCUUUUAAAACUGCACUGGAUAAAUUAUAUUUCAUUCCAAUCCCAAAGCAUUGGCAAAAUUUUCUGGCAGCAUUAUUUUGAGAAGACCAUGAAACUUUUCUUCACUCAAUAUAACAGAACAACAUGAUAGAAGUGAUUGCUAUCUUUCCAAAAUAAAAGAAAAAAAUGAAAUCAAUUCAACUAUCAGGAGUUCAUGGUUAAAAAAUGAAACUAAAAUAUCACUACAAAUGGCAGCCUAUCCUUUGAUUAUAUGUUAUUUGCCCAAUUGCUUGUAUAUUAAAACUUGCCACAUAAGAAAUUGAUAAUAAUUAAGUGUUUUCUGUAAAGCUGCAAUCUAUAGUAGCAUAUUCUUAAAUAUUGGUUUUAUGCUAUACUAUGAGUUCUGCAAGGAGUGAGAUAAAAACAUGUCACUGAAACACUAGGGAUUUGGUCUAGGUCCUGUUGCUCACAGCAAAGAAUGCCAGUUGCUGAGAUGGACUUUGCCAAGGAAGAAGGAUUUAUUCGGGUGCUGCAGCUGAGGAGAUGAGAUCAGUCUCAAAUCUAUCUCUCUGAUUAACUAAAAUUAGAGAUUUAUAUAGCAGGGAAGAAAUGUAACUAUGUGUGGAAUAACAGGAACUCAGAAAGGGUAUGGAAGCAAUCAUGAUGAAUGAGGGGCCUGCCAUCUUAUUGUCUGGAUAUGGUUUUAGUUCUCUGAUACUUUUAAAGAGGCCUGGGGGUCCAUUCCUGAGAAAUAAACUCAGAUAAAACAAAUGUAAGUUUCAGGGUCAAUUUCUUUUCUUCUCUCUUUUUUUUUUUUUAGAUUGGGUCUCCUUCUGUCACCCAGGCUGUAGUGCUGUGGUUCGAUCUUAGCUCACUGCAACCUCUGCCUCUCAGGCUGAAGCCAUCCUCCCACCUGGGCCUCCCCAAUAGCUGGGACUUACAGGUACAUGCCAGACACCAAGUUAAUUUUUUUUUUUUUGUAUUUUUUGUAGAGAUGAAGUUUUGCUAUGUUGCUCAGGCUGGUCUCCAACUUCUG